rnacentral:rRNA from 1 species
UUACCUACGGGAGGCAGCAGUGAGGAAUAUUGGUCAAUGGGCGGGAGCCUGAACCAGCCAAGUCGCGUGAGGGAUGACGGCCCUAUGGGUUGUAAACCUCUUUUGCCGGGGAGCAAAGUGCCGCACGUGUGCGGUUUGGAGAGUACCCGGAGAAAAAGCAUCGGCUAACUCCGUGCCAGCAGCCGCGGUAAUACGGAGGAUGCGAGCGUUAUCCGGAUUUAUUGGGUUUAAAGGGUGCGCAGGCGGAGGUGCAAGUCAGCGGUCAAAUUGCGGGGCUCAACCCCGUACUGCCGUUGAAACUGCAU